rnacentral:rRNA from 1 species
UACAGAGGGUGCGAGCGUUGUCCGGAAUCACUGGGCGUAAAGGGCGCGUAGGUGGCCCGGCAAGUCAAUGGUGAAAGCUCGACGCUUAACGUCGAGUCGGCCACUGAUACUGUUGGGCUGGAGCACUGUAGAGGCUCAUGGAAUUCCGGGUGUAGCGGUGGAAUGCGUAGAGAUCCGGAAGAACACCGGUGGCGAAGGCGGUGAGCUGGGCAGUUGCUGACACUGAGGCGCGACAGCGUGGGGAGCAAACAGG